CCUGACAGAAGGAGAAUGAGAAUUAGUCUCAGAGUUUAAUAUUGAAUAUGCUGCAGGCCCAUACGCUCUCUUUUUUGUAGCAGAGUACAUGAACAUUAUUAUAAUAAAUGCCCUAACUACUACAAAUCUUUCUAGGAGCACUAUACACUAUGCAUUUUCCAGAACUCUAUACCACACAUUUUAUUAUCUAAACCCUCCUCUUAACCUCCCUGUCUCUACUUUU
rnacentral:lncRNA from 1 species